rnacentral:rRNA from 1 species
CCUACGGGAGGCAGCAGUGGGGAAUAUUGCACAAUGGGCGGAAGCCUGAUGCAGCGACGCCGCGUGAGGGAUGACGGCCUUCGGGUUGUAAACCUCUUUCACCCAUGACGAAGCGGAAGUGACGGUAGUGGGAGAAGAAGCGCCGGCCAACUACGUGCCAGCAGCCGCGGUAAGACGUAGGGCGCGAGCGUUGUCCGGAUUUAUUGGGCGUAAAGAGCUCGUAGGCGGCUUGUCGCGUCGACUGUGAAAACCCGUGGCUCAACUGCGGGCUUGCAGCCGAUACGGGCAGGCUAGAGUUCGGUAGGGGAGACUGGAAUUCCUGGUGUAGCGGUGAAAUGCGCAGAUAUCAGGAGGAACACCGGUGGCGAAGGCGGGUCUCUGGGCCGAUACUGACGCUGAGGAGCGAAAGCGUGGGGAGCGAACAGGAUUAGAUACCCUGGUAGUCCACGCUGUAAACGUUGGGCGCUAAGUGUGGGGGGCCUCUCCGGUUCUCUGUGCCGCAGCUAACGCAUUAAGCGCCCCGCCUGGGGAGUACGGCCGCAAGGCUAAAACUCAAAGGAAUUGACGGGGGCCCGCACAAGCGGCGGAGCAUGCGGAUUAAUUCGAUGCAACGCGAAGAACCUUACCUGGGUUUGACAUCACUCGAAAACUCGCAGAGAUGUGGGGUCCUUCGGGGCGGGUGACAGGUGGUGCAUGGCUGUCGUCAGCUCGUGUCGUGAGAUGUUGGGUUAAGUCCCGCAACGAGCGCAACCCUCGUCCCAUGUUGCCAGCAAUUCGGUUGGGGACUCAUGGGAGACUGCCGGGUCAACUCGGAGGAAGGUGGGGAUGACGUCAAGUCAUCAUGCCCCUUAUGUCCAGGGCUGCACACAUGCUACAUGGGCCGGUACAAGGGCUGCUAUCCUGCGAGGGUGAGCGAUUCCAGAAAGCCGGUCUCAGUCGGAUCGAGUCUGCACUCGACUCCGUGAGUCGAGUCGCUAGUAAUCCCGA